UUCUGCCACUGUAGGAAAUUACCAAAUUAUCCUCAUCCUGAUCAGAUUUUUUUCUCUCUCUCUCUCUUUUAUUCUUGUCUUCUUCGAGUCUUCUAGAGCAGAGGCAGAGUUGAGAGUCCGCACCAAACCCUUGCACUGCCUCUCAUCGAUCUCCGCACCCUCCUUCUCAACCAAUGGCUACGUCGCUGUUCGUGUGGGUCGCUAUCAUCGGUGGCUUAUCGCUGUUCUUCUGCCACUGCUGCGAAUUCUUCCCCUGUCUCACAGUCGUUCCUCUGUCUCUGUCAUUGUUUCAAGUAUGCUGAAUCUCUUUCUUUUUCCUUGUUGCUUCGUUGUGUGCAAAGGCUUGGGUGAGCUGAGAUUUAUUUUGCUUCUUGUUCAUUUUAUUAUCAUCGGUAUGCUCAUCCGUUCUUCAUUAACUGUGACAGUCCUUCCGUCUUCACUGUUCGAAGUGCCUCCUCCUUUCUUGUUCGUGUGCUGUUGGUCUGUCUAAGGGUAUUUGGAGGAGGAGAAAUUGGAACGAUGGUUAGAGGUGAAUUUGUAAAUUCCCAAAAUUUCAGAUUUGUUAGCUAACGCUGAUCCUACCAACGACCUCUGAAGGGCAAUAUAGCUACAUUGGGUGGAAAUUUUGUUUGGUACUGUCACUUUUUGAUAUAAAUCUUUAAGUCGUAUGUAUUUUUAAUUUAAAAGAAAGAUUAGCUGCUCCACAUAGAUUGUUGUUAGGAUUUUAUUUUGAUUUACAUGCUGUUGUUGGCUGGAAGGAGCUAAGCUCCUGAUUGAUACUAUUUUCAAGAAAAUUUUGUUUUAGAA